rnacentral:lncRNA from 1 species
GGAUUGAUCCUGCUGGCCGCAGCCACCCACGUGGUGGAAGCCCGGCCCUGCAGGCUGGAGAGGAUUUGAUUAGACUACGCGUUUCGACUUGCAGGGUGUUUAAUCGUCGCCAAGCGGGACUUACUGCAAGCUAUCAAAUCUGAGGUCUUAUUUUGUUGAGUCGAAAGUGAAAUUUUCCUUUGGCCAACGUGACAGGGCUUUGUUUGGUGGUAAAAAGGGUUACUAGACACCCCUCAUUCCACUGCCACUGGAGGGCGCAUUUCUCAGCUCUUGCUCUUCAAACCUGCUGAAAGGAAUUCCUAGAUCUAAACACCAGCAUCCCCUGCACAGGAGUGAUGGACAGUUGGGUGCAAAGGUGAUGAAGGUGGGAUCCCCGAGGCAUUGUCACUACAGAACAACCAUGAAAUAGACUCCUUAUUUCAGAGGAAGAGUUACAUAUUA